rnacentral:rRNA from 1 species
GGUGGAAAUUCCAAUUGUGGUAGGCGGUUGAAAUGGCGCAGAGGAUAUGAAGGGAACACCCAGUGGCGAAGGCGACUUUCUGGUCUGUAACUGACGCUGAUGUGCGAAAGCGUGGGAUCAAACAAGGAUUAGAUACCCUUGGUAGUCCACGCCGUAAACGAUGAGUGCUAAGUGUUAGGGGGUUUCCGCCCCUUAGUGCUGCAGCUAACGCAUUAAGCACUCCGCCUGGGGAGUACGACCGCAAGGUUGAAACUCAAAGGAAUUUGACGGGGACCCGCACAAGCGGUGGAGCAUGUGGUUUAAUUCGAAGCAACGCGAAGAACCUUACCAAAUCUUGACAUCCUUUGACCACUCUAGAGAUAGAGUUUUCCCCUUCGGGGGACAAAGUGACAGGUGGUGCAUGGUUGUCGUCAGCUCGUGUCGUGAGAUGUUGGGUUAAGUCCCGCAACGAGCGCAACCCUUAAACUUAGUUGCCAGCAUUUAGUUGGGCACUCUAGGUUGACUGCCGGUGACAAACCGGAGGAAGGUGGGGAUGACGUCAAAUCAUCAUGCCCCUUAUGAUUUGGGCUACACACGUGCUACAAUGGACAAUACAAAGGGCAGCUAAACCGCGAGGUCAUGCAAAUCCCAUAAAGUUGUUCUCAGGUUCGGAUUGUAGUCUGCAACUCGACUACAUGAAGCUGGAUCGCUAGAAUCGAGAUCAGCUUUCCUUUUGUAAUCGUUCCCGGGUCUUGACACCCGCCCGCCCUUCCAGAGUUUGUACACCCGAGCCGGUGAUGUAACCAUUAAUGGAGCUAGCCUUCAAUUGGGCCAAAAAG